GUGGGGAAUCUUGCGCAAUGGGCGAAAGCCUGACGCAGCCAUGCCGCGUGAAUGAUGAAGGUCUUAGGAUUGUAAAAUUCUUUCACCGGGGACGAUAAUGACGGUACCCGGAGAAGAAGCCCCGGCUAACUUCGUGCCAGCAGCCGCGGUAAUACGAAGGGGGCUAGCGUUGCUCGGAAUUACUGGGCGUAAAGGGCGCGUAGGCGGACAGUUUAGUCAGAGGUGAAAGCCCAGGGCUCAACCUUGGAAUUGCCUUUGAUACUGGCUGUCUUGAGUACGGGAGAGGUGAGUGGAACGCCGAGUGUAGAGGUGAAAUUCGUAGAUAUUCGGAAGAACACCAGUGGCGAAGGCGACUCACUGGCCCGUUACUGACGCUGAGGCGCGAAAGCGUGGGGAGCAAACAGGAUUAGAAACCCUGGUAGUCC
rnacentral:rRNA from 1 species